CCGGCCCGGCGCCCGGCCUCGGGCCUCGGAGCGGCACCCUCUCUCCUUUACUCCCUCCCUCCCUUCCUGCCCAGCUCCUCCUCCUCCUGCUCCUGCUCGCUCAGGCUCCGGCUCCGGCGCCGGCUCCGGCUCCUCCCGGCAGCCCGGGGCCAAGGCGACGUGAGAUUGUAAAAAUCCAUGUGGGACGGCCCCGGGGUGAGCAUCAGAAAGAUCUCUGGAGUCAUUUUCUGGUACAGAUUGUGAAAAGAAUGCAGUGAAAAUCCUGGGCAACAGUAGCUUAAUUGGCUUAACCUCCAACUUAGUAUAGCAUUCCUUCUCUUCAGUAGUACCUCAUAAUAGAAGAAAAAUGUAUGGAAGUGCAAGAACAAUCACCAAUCUGGAAGGCAGCCCUUCCAGAUCUCCUCGUUUGCCAAGGUCUCCUCGUUUGGGCCACCGAAGAACAAGUAGUGGGGGAGGUGGAGGAACAGGCAAGACUCUGUCCAUGGAGAAUAUCCAGUCCCUUAAUGCAGCCUAUGCUACAUCUGGACCCAUGUAUCUGAGUGACCACGAGGGAGUGGCUUCAACAACUUACCCAAAGGGCACCAUGACACUGGGAAGGGCCACAAAUAGAGCUGUAUAUGGAGGCCGAGUCACAGCCAUGGGGAGUAGUCCCAAUAUUGCUUCUGCUGGACUUUCCCACACAGAUGUCCUUUCAUACACGGAUCAACAUGGUGGUCUGACCAGCUCAUCCCACCAUCACCACCACCAGGUCCCCUCCAUGUUGAGGCAGGUAAGGGACAGCACAAUGUUAGACCUUCAAGCCCAGCUCAAGGAACUUCAGAGAGAAAAUGACCUCCUCCGGAAAGAGCUAGACAUCAAGGACAGCAAGUUGGGAUCUUCCAUGAACAGUAUCAAGACCUUCUGGAGUCCCGAGCUCAAAAAGGAGAGAGUCUUAAGGAAAGAAGAGGCAGCCAGGAUGUCUGUCCUCAAGGAGCAGAUGAGGGUUUCCCAUGAAGAAAAUCAGCACCUGCAGUUGACAAUCCAGGCACUUCAAGAUGAGCUGCGAACCCAGAGAGACCUCAACCAUCUCCUGCAGCAAGAGAGUGGCAACCGAGGAGCCGAGCACUUUACCAUUGAACUGACCGAGGAGAACUUCCGGCGGCUCCAAGCUGAGCAUGACAGGCAGGCUAAGGAGUUGUUCCUAUUAAGGAAGACCUUGGAAGAAAUGGAGUUGAGAAUCGAAACGCAGAAACAGACCCUCAAUGCCCGAGAUGAGUCAAUUAAAAAGCUCCUUGAGAUGUUGCAAAGUAAAGGUUUGCCGUCCAAAAGUCUAGAGGAUGACAAUGAACGGACACGGCGGAUGGCAGAAGCUGAGUCUCAAGUCAGCCACUUGGAAGUGAUUUUAGACCAGAAAGAGAAGGAAAACAUACAUCUUAGAGAGGAAUUACACCGAAGAAGCCAACUUCAGCCGGAGCCAGCCAAGACGAAGGCUCUCCAGACUGUCAUUGAAAUGAAGGACACAAAAAUCGCUUCAUUGGAGCGAAACAUAAGGGAUCUUGAGGAUGAGAUCCAGAUGUUAAAAGCCAAUGGUGUGCUGAACACUGAGGACCGCGAAGAAGAGAUAAAACAAAUAGAGGUUUACAAAAGUCACUCCAAGUUCAUGAAAACUAAGAUUGAUCAGCUGAAGCAGGAACUUUCAAAGAAGGAGUCAGAACUUCUUGCCUUACAAACAAAGCUUGAAACCCUUAGCAAUCAGAAUUCAGAUUGCAAGCAACACAUUGAAGUGCUUAAAGAGUCGCUUACUGCCAAAGAACAGAGGGCUGCCAUCCUUCAGACUGAGGUAGAUGCACUGAGAUUACGACUAGAAGAGAAAGAAUCUUUUCUCAAUAAAAAAACGAAACAGCUGCAGGACCUCACGGAAGAGAAGGGUACACUGGCUGGAGAGAUUCGUGACAUGAAGGAUAUGUUAGAAGUGAAGGAAAGGAAAAUUAAUGUUCUUCAGAAAAAGAUUGAAAACUUACAAGAGCAACUUAGGGAUAAAGACAAGCAACUGACCAAUCUGAAAGACAGAGUGAAGUCCUUGCAGACUGAUUCCAGUAAUACGGACACUGCGCUGGCGACACUCGAGGAGGCUUUGUCAGAGAAGGAAAGAAUAAUUGAGCGUUUGAAAGAACAGCGGGAGAGAGAUGAUCGAGAAAGACUAGAAGAAAUAGAAUCAUUCCGAAAAGAGAACAAAGACUUGAAAGAGAAAGUCAAUGCAUUACAAGCUGAACUGACUGAAAAAGAGUCUAGUUUAAUUGACCUCAAGGAACAUGCAUCUUCAUUAGCCUCAGCAGGGCUGAAAAGGGAUUCCAAAUUAAAAUCUCUAGAAAUAGCCAUUGAACAAAAGAAAGAAGAAUGUAGCAAAUUGGAAGCACAAUUAAAAAAGCAAGCUGAGCAGUUGUUCAAUCAGAUGUACAACCCAGCUCAUAAUGUUGAAGAUGACUCCAGGAUGAACCCAGAGUUUGCAGACCGAAUAAAACAGCUUGAUAAAGAGGCAUCUUAUUACCGUGAUGAGUGUGGCAAGGCCCAAGCAGAAGUCGACCGGUUGCUGGAGAUCCUCAAGGAGGUGGAGAAUGAAAAGAAUGACAAGGACAAGAAGAUUGCAGAACUUGAGAGGCAUAUGAAAGAUCAGAAUAAGAAGGUAGCCAACCUCAAGCACAAUCAACAGUUGGAAAAAAAGAAGAAUGCCCAGUUACUGGAAGAAGUCCGCAGGCGAGAGGAUAGCAUAGCUGACAACUCUCAGCACUUGCAGAUAGAGGAACUGAUGAAUGCACUGGAGAAGACCAGACAGGAACUGGAUGCCACCAAGGCACGCCUUUCCUCCACGCAGCAAUCCCUGGCUGAAAAAGAAGCACACUUGGCCAACCUUCGGAUAGAAAGGAGAAAACAGCUGGAGGAGAUUCUGGAGAUGAAGCAGGAAGCACUGCUUGCAGCAAUCAGUGAAAAAGAUGCAAACAUUGCCUUGCUGGAAUUGUCUGCCUCCAAAAAGAAAAAGACACAGGAAGAAGUUAUGGCCCUCAAGCGGGAAAAAGAUCGACUGGUGCAUCAGUUAAAGCAGCAGACCCAGAACAGAAUGAAGCUGAUGGCGGACAACUAUGAUGAGGACCACCACCACUACCACCACCACCACCAUCACCACCACCACCGAUCUCCUGGGAGGUCGCAACAUUCCAAUCACAGGCCUUCUCCUGACCAGAUGAUCCAGCUCUGUCGGAGGCAUGGAGGCACAGUCAAAUCUCAUGCUGUACAUUGAUCACCUGUCCAACCUUUGCCUAGAGUGGGAGCCCCCAAUUCCUUCAAGAGAUCCAACUUUACCUGUCUGUAAAGAAGAAGAGGAGGAGGGAGACAGCAGGGAGGAUCCGGUGGCAGUUUAACACCAGAGCAGCUAUCAGAAGGGCUGACUAAAGGGGAAAUGCAGCUCUGCAGCAAUACUCUGAUAAUCUAUUGCAGCACAGCUCCCAUCACUGUCCAUCACCACCUGGAAUGCUCAUCAGGACCGAAGAGGGAUUUUUACUUUCAUUAUGAGCCCGAUUCUUUUCGACUUGAUAUUUCCUUCAUCAUCUUAUGUCCUUUCUCACGGAUGCAGACCUGUUGGAAAGGAAGAAAGCACAGGAGGAGAAAAUGGUGGA